rnacentral:lncRNA from 1 species
GUAAAUUUCUCCCCCUUGUUGACACAUGCACUUAUCAAGAUUUGCCCAAGGAGUGCAACUCCCCCUCAAAACAUGCUACGAAUGCAAGAAGUACACAUAUACAAAAGCUUCAGGAGUAUAGCAAUCAGAUUGAAAAGAUGCUCUAGGUGGUGUUGUCAUGUGUGUAUAGCAAUAAGUACAAGUGCUAGCAAAUGCUCAAACUGAUCAAGUG